rfam:Caprimulgus carolinensis contig30972, whole genome shotgun sequence.
AACAAGGUUGUAUUCACAACCACUCAAGUGUCAGAAACAGUUUAAA